rnacentral:rRNA from 1 species
UACGUAGGGGGCAAGCGUUGUCCGGAUUCAUUGGGCGUAAAGAGCGUGUAGGCGGCCAGGUAGGUCGGUUGUGAAAACUGGAGGCUCAACCUUCAGACGUCGACCGAAACCAUCUGGCUAGAGUCCGGGAGAGGAAAGUGGAAUUCCUGGUGUAGCGGUGAAAUGCGCAGAUAUCAGGAAGAACACCCGUGGCGAAAGCGGCUCUCUGGAACGGUACUGACGCUGAGACGCGAAAGCGUGGGGAGCGAACAGG